rnacentral:rRNA from 1 species
UACGUAGGGGGGCAAGCGUUGUCCGGAAUCAUUGGGCGUAAAGAGCGCGUAGGCGGCCCGAUAAGUCCGCUGUGAAAGUCAAGGGCUCAACCCUUGAAUGCCGGUGGAUACUGUCGGGCUAGAGUCCGGAAGAGGCGAGUGGAAUUCCUGGUGUAGCGGUGAAAUGCGCAGAUAUCAGGAGGAACACCAAUGGCGAAGGCAGCUCGCUGGGACGGUACUGACGCUGAGGCGCGAAAGCAUGGGGAGCGAACAGG